rnacentral:rRNA from 1 species
AACGAACGCUGGCGGCAUGCCUAACACAUGCAAGUCGAACGAACCCUUCGGGGUUAGUGGCGCACGGGUGCGUAACACGUGGGAAUCUGCCCUUUGCUUCGGAAUAACAGUUAGAAAUGACUGCUAAUACCGGAUGAUGUCGCAAGACCAAAGAUUUAUCGGCAAAGGAUGAGCCCGCGUAGGAUUAGCUAGUUGGUGGGGUAAAGGCCUACCAAGGCGACGAUCCUUAGCUGGUCUGAGAGGAUGAUCAGCCACACUGGGACUGAGACACGGCCCAGACUCCUACGGGAGGCAGCAGUGGGGAAUAUUGGACAAUGGGCGAAAGCCUGAUCCAGCAAUGCCGCGUGAGUGAUGAAGGCCUUCGGGUUGUAAAGCUCUUUUACCAGGGAUGAUAAAGACAGUACCUGGAGAAUAAGCUCCGGCUAACUCCGUGCCAGCCGCCGCCGUAAUAC